CAGGCUAAAGCUUUAAUAAGUUUUUUAUUUACAUUAAAAUGAUUGUCUUAGGACAUUGCUUGA
rnacentral:tRNA from 1 species